AGCCGCUUCGCUAAUGACCGAGUUCGGAGUGAGCCGGGCUGCAGGGCUUGUCCCGGACUCACCUGACUCUCGCCCCAGCAGGAAAUGAACUUGAAUCCAUCUGUCACAAGUCAAAAGCCUCAGAUAAAUUUCAAGUCAACUCCAAACUGCCCAGCAGCCCCAGGUGUUCCCUCGGAAUCUGCAUCCUAGACAGCUCCAAAGCAGCUAGCCUCAGAUGGUCCAGCCUCACAGACCGCUCCAAUCUUGCCUGUUGCUCCCUAGCCCCAGAUGGUCCAGCCUCACAGACCGCUCCAAUCCUGCCUGGUCCUCCCUAGCCCCAGAUGGUCCAGCCUCACAGACCGCUCCAAUCUUGCCUGUUCCUCCCUAGCCCCAGAUGGUCCUCAGAGCCUGGACAGCAGCUGGUACAGCCUGCUCUUCCCAACCUUAACCAAAGUUCUAGCUUCCUUGGUUCCCUAACAAAGAUACCCCAAUAUCAGCAGGAAGUGCUCAUACUAACACAGGCUUCCCCCUUUUUCUCCUUAAAAACCCACUCAUGGAGAAAGAAAAAAAAAAACCUGCUGCUUGCUGCCUGCCUUGGUCCGAUCCAGAGGCGGCCCCCAACCCCGCUUGCCCCUCCAGGGUGAUAAAUCUUUGUGCUAAGAACUUGGUGUCUUGAGUGUAUUCUGAGCUGACUGGGGUGGGGGCAAUCCUUAUGCAUAAAAUAAAUUUUUUGUUUUUUGAGACAGGGUUUCUCUGUGUAGUCCUGGCUGUCCUGGAACUUUCUCUGUAGACCAGGAUGACCUUGAACUCACAGAGAUCCACCUGCCUCUGCCUCCCAAGUGCCGGGAAUAAAGGAGUGAGCUACCACUGUGUGUGUUGGGCAGCUUGCAGGGCUUGAUUCUCUUUCCACCAUGUGGGUUCCUCCGGUUGUCAAGCUUGACGGCAGACACCAAACCACCUCACUGGCCCUGUCUUUUUAUUUAUUUAUUUAUUUUGCAUUUCCCCAUGACUGGGUCACCA